CCUACGGGGGGCAGCAGUGAGGAAUAUUGGUCAAUGGACGCAAGUCUGAACCAGCCAAGUAGCGUGCAGGAUGACGGCCCUCCGGGUUGUAAACUGCUUUUAGUUGGGAAUAAAAGGGGGCUCGUGAGCCCCGUAUUGUAUGUACCAUCAGAAAAAGCAUCGGCUAACUCCGUGCCAGCAGCCGCGGUAAUACGGAGGAUGCGAGCGUUAUUCGGAUUUAUUGGGUUUAAAGGGUGCGUAGGCGGACUGGAAAGUCAGCGGUAAAAUCGAGAGGCUCAACCUCUUUCCGCCGUUGAAACUGUCGG
rnacentral:rRNA from 1 species